CAGGUGCUGACACGGAUGUAUCUUGAUACUGAGGGAUUUUUUAAGUUGAGUUACCAAGAUGUUGACUGGUUUGAGAUUGAUACACCAACAACAGAAACACAGACAAUUCCUGUUGACAUACGGAGUGGUCUGUUUGCUUAGUCAUUGCAUAACUUCUGUUGUUUCACUUGGUCGCGACAUAGCUGUGCCAGCAGAAGAUUAUAAAGAAAAA